CACCAGGAGCAGCCCCUGAAGGGCGCAGACGGCCAGGGCGGCGCUCGGGCCGGGCAGCAUCGCCGGUGGCUGCGGUAUUCCCUUGCGAGGCGCGGGAGGAAAGGUCCGCAACCCGGGACGAGUUUUCUUUCCAGCAACAAAGCUCCUGGAUUUCCUGUUGCUGCUGCCUGGGAUGGGGCAAAGAAAUGAGCCGAGUUGUUCCCCGCUGCUUCCCUGCAUUGCCUGUUCCUGCACAGCCAGAGCUGCGUGAGCAUCAGCAACGGAUAAAGCAGCUCCCCUGGUUUGAACCAAGGGACUCCAGCUCCACUUUCAGAGCACCCAAACUGCGUGAUCCGCAGGCUGCAGGAUUCCCUGGUGACCGACAGAACAUCCUGGAAAAAAACCCAAAGCCUAAACAAAACAGGCUCCUGUGAGCUAAAUACAGGGAUACACAGGAAAAGCUUUUAAUCUUGGAUAGACAGUCAGAAUUGUCCUGCCUUCCUCUCCCAGAAAAUAAAAAGAGAAUCCUAUAAA